AUACGAAGGGUGCAAGCGUUACUCGGAAUUACUGGGCGUAAAGCGUGCGUAGGUGGUUGUUUAAGUCUGUCGUGAAAGCCCUGGGCUCGACCUGGGAAUGGCGAUGGAAACUGGGCGACUAGAGUGUGGCAGAGGGUAGUGGAAUUCCUGGUGGAGCAGUGAAAUGCGUAGAGAUCAGGAGGAACAUCCGUGGCGAAGGCGACUGCCUGGGCCAACACUGACACUGAGGCACGAAAGCGUGGGGAGCAAACAGGAUUAGAUACCCUGGUAGUCCACGCCCUAAACGAUGCGAACUGGAUGUUGGGUGCAAUUUGGCACGCAGUAUCGAAGCUAACGCGUUAAGUUCGCCGCCUGGGGAGUACGGUCGCAAGGCUGAAACUCAAAUGAAUUGACGGGG
rnacentral:rRNA from 1 species